GAUGAACGCUGACAGCAUGCUUAACACAUGCAAGUCUUUGGCGAAUCUGUGCUUGCACCUGUUAGCCAAUGCGGACGGGUGAGUAACGCGUAAAGAACUUGCCCUGCAGACAGGGAUAACAGGCGGAAACGACUGAUAACACCUGAUACAAUUGCCGUCGCGCAUGUGCCUGUCAAUGAAAAGAGAUGCUGCAGGAGAGCUUUGCGUCCUAUUAGCUUGUUGGUGAGGUGACGGCUCACCAAGCCGCUGAUAGGUAGCCGGCCUGAGAGGGUGAACGGCCAAAAGGGGAAUGAGAGACGGCACUUACUCCUACGGGGGGCAGCAGUGGGGAAUAAUGGACAAUGGGGGCAAGACUGAUCCAGCAAUUCUGUGUGAAAGAAGAAGGUUUUAGGAUUGUAAAGUGCUUUCAGCAGGGAAGAAGAAAGUGACGGUACCUGCAGAAGAAGCGACGGCUAAAUACGUG
rnacentral:rRNA from 1 species